rnacentral:lncRNA from 1 species
UGGCUAAGCGAGAAGAAGUUGAACUGGACACUUUGUCAGAAUGGGUUAAAACUAUCAGGUCUCUGAUAAAACGUCGCAUUCACAAGUUGAAAAACUGUGUGAACGAUCGACCAAAGUCCGUUUUCAGAGACAAAAAGGCCAUGAAAUGUCUAUCAUCUCUUCAUGAUAAGUAUGUUGUUGUUCCUGCGGACAAAGCUUCAAAUAAUAUUGUCUUUGUAUGUAAAUCGUAUUACUACGAAUGUCUUGUAAAAGAAUUGGGUAUAAAUGAGCACUCAGGUAAUCCCACAUACAAAGACAUAUCAUUUGACAAGGAUGAGAUUUUAGCAAAUCAUAAGUCCUUCAUGGCUUCAAUAAACAUUACAUUGAACACCAAAUCGGAGGACUUACCUUGUUUGUAUUGGAUACCAAAGCUUCAUAAAAUUCCGUACAAACAACGGUAUAUUGCUGGCUCAUCUUCA